rnacentral:rRNA from 1 species
AGUGACUAACAGUUAAACGGCCGCGGUAUCCUGACCGUGCAAAGGUAGCAUAAUCACUUGUUCUCUAAAUAAGGACUUGUAUGAAUGGCCACACGAGGGUUUUACUGUCUCUUACUUUCAAUCAGUGAAAUUGACCUCCCCGUGAAGAGGCGGGGAUACUACAAUAAGACGAGAAGACCCUAUGGAGCUUCAAUUAAUCAGCCCAAAAGUUAUAAAUUUACACCACCAAGGGAUAACAAAACUAUAAUUGAGCUGACAAUUUCGGUUGGGGUGACCUCGGAGUACAAAAAACCCUCCGAGUGAUUAAAGCCUAGGCCCACUAGCCAAAGCAUGACAUCACUUAUUGAUCCAAAGUCUUGAUCAACGGAACAAGUUACCCUAGGGAUAACAGCGCAAUCCUAUUCCAGAGUCCAUAUCGACAAUAGGGUUUACGACCUCGAUGUUGGAUCAGGGACAUCCUAAUGGUGCAGCCGCUAUUAAGGGGUUCGUUUGUU